rnacentral:rRNA from 1 species
UACGUAGGGGGCAAGCGUUGUCCGGAAUCAUUGGGCGUAAAGCGCGUGUAGGCGGCUUGGUAAGUCCGCUCUGAAAGCCCGGGGCUCAACCCCGGGAGGCGGGUGGAUACUGCCAGGCUAGAGUCCGGAAGAGGCGAGUGGAAUUCCCGGUGUAGCGGUGAAAUGCGCAGAUAUCGGGAGGAACACCAAUGGCGAAGGCAGCUCGCUGGGACGUGACUGACGCUGAGACGCGAAAGCGUGGGGAGCAAACAGG